GUGCUCUCUUUGGCAGCACAUAUACUAAUAUUAGAAUGAUGCAGAGAAAUUUAACAUGGCCUCUGCACAAGGAUGACAUGCAAAUUCAUGAAGCAGUCCAUAUUUUU
rnacentral:snRNA from 1 species